rnacentral:rRNA from 1 species
GAUUAAGUUAUUAAGGGCGCACGGUGGAUGCCUUGGCACUAGAAGCCGAAGAAGGACGUUACUAACGACGAUAUGCUUUGGGGAGCUGUAAGUACGCUUUGAUCCAGAGAUUUCCGAAUGGGGAAACCCAGCAUGAGUUAUGUCAUGUUAUCCGCAUAUGAAUACAUAGUAUGCGAGAAGGCACACCCGGAGAACUGAAACAUCUUAGUACCCGGAGGAAGAGAAAGAAAACUCGAUUCCCUGAGUAGCGGCGAGCGAAACGGGAAGAGCCCAAACCAAUAGGCUUGCCUAUUGGGGUUGUAGGACACUCUAUACGGAGUUACAAAGGAAAUGAUUAGACGAAUGGUUUUGGAAAAGCCAACCAUAGAAGGUAAAGGUCCUGUAGUCGAAAGUCAUUUCUCUCCUGAGUGGAUCCUGAGUACGGCGGAACACGUGAAAUUCCGUCGGAAUCUGGGAGGACCAUCUCCCAAGGCUAAAUACUCUCUAGUGACCGAUAGUGAACCAGUACCGUGAGGGAAAGGUGAAAAGCACCCCGGAAGGGGAGUGAAAUAGAACCUGAAACCGUGUGCUUACAAAUAGUCAGAGCCCGUUAAUGGGUGAUGGCGUGCCUUUUGUAGAAUGAACCGGCGAGUUACGAUUUGAUGCAAGGUUAAGCAGUAAAUGUGGAGCCGUAGCGAAAGCGAGUCUGAAUAGGGCGAAUGAGUAUCUGGUCGUAGACCCGAAACCAAGUGAUCUACCCAUGUCCAGGUUGAAGUUCAGGUAACACUGAAUGGAGGACCGAACCGACUUACGUUGAAAAGUGAGCGGAUGAGGUGUGGGUAGCGGAGAAAUUCCAAUCGAACUUGGAGAUAGCUGGUUCUCUCCGAAAUAGCUUUAGGGCUAGCCUCAAGUGAUGAUUAUUGGAGGUAGAGCACUGUUUGGACGAGGGGCCCCUCUCGGGUUACCGAAUUCAGACAAACUCCGAAUGCCAAAUAAUUUAACUUGGGAGUCAGACUAUGGGUGAUAAGGUCCGUAGUCGAAAGGGAAACAGCCCAGACCACCAGCUAAGGUCCCAAAAUAUAUGUUAAGUGGAAAAGGAUGUGGCGUUGCCCAGACAACUAGGAUGUUGGCUUAGAAGCAGCCAUCAUUUAAAGAGUGCGUAAUAGCUCACUAGUCGAGUGACACUGCGCCGAAAAUGUACCGGGGCUAAACAUAUUACCGAAGCUGUGGAUUAUCCGUAAGGAUAAUGGUAGGAGAGCGUUCUAAACGUGUCGAAGCAUGAU